rnacentral:rRNA from 1 species
UACGUAGCAGCGAGCGUUGUUCGGAAUUACUGGGCGUAAAGAGUGUGUAGGCGGUGUUCCAAGUUCGGUGUGAAAUCUCCCGCUUAACUGGAAGGGUGCGCCGAAAACUGGAAUGCUCGAGCGUGGGAGAGGAAAGCGGAAUUCCUGGUGUAGCGGUGAAAUGCGUAGAUAUCAGGAGGAACACCAGCGGUGUAGACGGCUUUCUGGACCAUUGCUGACGCUGAGACACGAAAGCGUGGGUAGCAAACAGG